rnacentral:rRNA from 1 species
AUCUUGCGCAAUGGGCGAAAGCCUGACGCAGCAACGCCGCGUGGGGGAUGAAGGCCUUCGGGUUGUAAACCCCUUUCAGGAGGGAAGAAAUUGACGGUACCUCCAGAGGAAGCACCGGCUAACUCUGUGCCAGCAGCCGCGGUAAUACAGAGGGUGCGAGCGUUGUUCGGAAUCACUGGGCGUAAAGCGCGCGCAGGCGGGACUUGCAAGUCGGGAGUGAAAGGCCGGGGCUCAACCCCGGAGCUGCUUUCGAGACUGCGGACCUGGAGACCAGUAGGGGUUGGUGGAAUUCCCGGUGUAGCGGUGGAAUGCGUAGAUAUCGGGAAGAACACCCGUGGCGAAGGCGGCCAACUGGGCUGGAUCUGACGCUGAGGCGCGAAAGCGUGGGGAGCAAACAGG